CAGCAUGCUGCACUGCACCCAGCAUGCUGCACCGUGCCCGGCAUGCUUCACUGCACAUGGCACACUGCACUGCACCCAGCAUGCUACACUCUACCCAGCAUGCUGCACUGCACAUGGCAUGCACAUGGCACACCGCAUCAUGCCUGGCAUGCUGCACUGCACGUGGCAUGCUGCACUGCGCCCUGCACACUGCACACGAUGCUCUGCGCUGCCCAAAGCGAAGCGGACGUUGCAGUGCACAUAGUGCAGGGCGCACCGCACUGCGCAGCACCCUCACACCGCGUGUGGCCCGCUGCGCUGGGCUGCCCGCACUGCACACUGUGAGGCCUGCGGAGGCCGGGCUCAGCGCUGGGAGACACAGCCCCAGGCAGGGCGCGGGCUUCGCCCCGCAGGGGCGGCACUCUGGGGCGGCGCUGGGGGAACCAGCCCGGGUGGCCGUGGGCCACGUCCCCGCUGCGCAGCGGUGCCGACUGCCUCGGGGCAUCGCAGCUCGGCACCAGCCCCGGCCGGUUCAGCGGGUGCCGCGCGGCUGGYGCAUCUCUCCCGGGAGCCAGGCUCUGCUGCUGCAGGGCCAGCCCGGCUCUUGCCAUCAGGAUGUGCCGGCCCCGCGGGUGGUCCUGGCUCUGCCCCAGGGCUCUCAGCACCCCGCGCUUGUCCCGGGAGCCCCCAGCCCCGCGCUGUGCCCGAGGGGGGCAACAUCCCAUGGGAGGGCCGUGCAUGAGGGUUGCAAUGCUCCAUGCAAGGGCCGUGCGCAGGGGUUGCAACGUCCUGCACAAGGGCCGUGCACGAGGGCUGCGACACCCCCUGCAAGGGCCGUGCACGAGGGCUGCGACACCCUGUGCAGGCACCGCGCAGGGGGUUUGCAGCGCCCCGUGUCAGAGCCGCAGAAAGCCAGGAGCAGGGAAGAGGCAGCUCCGCAACUCCUGGCCUUGCCCAAAGGGGACCCCGGCAGGGUGGGACAGGGCGUCCGUGGCCCCGUGGAUUCCCCCCUCCCGCCCCGGCGGGGCAGUUCCGGGCAUCCGCAGGCGCCGGCCGCAGCGGGUCCCGGGGCCCCACGGGGAYGGCAGUGGUGCAGCCAGGCCCUGCCGUGCCGUGGGGAGCCCGGCGCAGCGCGGCAGCCCUGUCCCAGCCGCCCCGCGUGCCGCGGCGGGCGCUGACCCUGCAUUUUUCCAGCUGGCCACUGNNNNNNNNNNNNNNNNNNNNNNNNNNNNNNNNNNNNNNNNN
rnacentral:lncRNA from 1 species